UGCUGUAUAAUCAAAAUUCAAGGGCUCGUGCAUCCUGAUCGGCUCUUCCACCAUAAUUCUCAUCAAGAUGCCACCCAUUAUAAAAGCUGAUACCAGCAAUCCAACCAAAACAACACAUACAUACACAGACCACAAACAUCCCCAUCCGAGUUUCAACCCCAACUUCCAUACUGACCUCUGCUCCUUCAACCAUUCAAACACAAAUCCAAAACUCCUCAUAAACUUGUGCAUCAAAUAUCUUUUUCCACGCCUCAUUAUUUGAAACGGAUAAGUUUCAACCCCAACUUCCACACUGACCUCUGCUCCUUCAACCAUUCAAACACAAAUCUAAAACUCCUCAUAAACUUGUGCAUCACAUAUCUUUUUCCACGCCUCAUUAUUUGAAACGGAUCCAUCACAAACAUAUACGUGCUAUAAAUUACCCAUACAGGAAACGAAAACAACUUUAUCAUCAAACUCACAAAAGUAAUCAACAUAUUCACUUGAAAGCCAACAGAUUUUAUCACUAAAUUGGCUAAAUCAAACAAAAUAUUCGAACUUGAAUCAUCACUUUCUCUCAAAUGCGAAUCAACUACCUCCGAAUUAUCUAUUCCAUCAUUGUUCACAUCCGUAAUUACAGAAUCCUCUUUCAACAUUAAAUGAUCAUCGUUUGAAUUACCUA
rnacentral:lncRNA from 1 species